rnacentral:rRNA from 1 species
UACGUAGGGUGCGAGCGUUGUCCGGAAUUAUUGGGCGUAAAGAGCUCGUAGGCGGUCUGUCGCGUCGGCUGUGAAAACCCGGAGCUCAACUCCGGGCCUGCAGUCGAUACGGGCAGACUGGAGUUCGGCAGGGGAGACUGGAAUUCCUGGUGUAGCGGUGAAAUGCGCAGAUAUCAGGAGGAACACCGGUGGCGAAGGCGGGUCUCUGGGCCGAUACUGACGCUGAGGCGCGAAAGCUAGGGGAGCAAACAGG